UACGAGGGGGGCGAGCGUUGUUCGGAAUUACUGGGCGUAAAGGGCUCGUAGGUGGCCAACUAAGUCAGACGUGAAAUCCCUCGGCUUAACCGGGGAACUGCGUCUGAUACUGGAUGGCUUGAGUUUGGGAGAGGGACGCGGAAUUCCAGGUGUAGCGGUGAAAUGCGUAGAUAUCUGGAGGAACACCGGUGGCGAAGGCGGCGUCCUGGACCAACACUGACACUGAGGAGCGAAAGCCAGGGGAGCAAACGGG
rnacentral:rRNA from 1 species